rnacentral:lncRNA from 1 species
AUGGGCAUCUUUGCGACGUCGUUUUCUCCGCCGGUGGAAACCCUAGAAUUUUGCAGCGGCAGUAGUAACAGGGGGCAUUCUUUCUUAAUAUUAGAAAGAUGCCUAGAAGCAGGAGAGAGAACCAUCAUCGGAGCAGGCCAAUGCAAAAGAUUCCAAACGUAUAAAGAGCUUCGACAGACAAUGGACAGGAACAAGGCCAAUAUAUAAUGGAAAGCAAGAUCAUUAUGGUUGCAUAUGGAAAUGGGCUCCUCAAUAGGGAUCAAGUGGAGAUGAAAAACUCUGCACAGGCUUGCUGAGUGAGGAGGAUAAUGCUGAGAAGCUCUCUGUGAAAGACAUGACACAGCUAGAACAAGAACUUGAUGCUGCUCACAUGCAAACACGAUUAAGAAAGAUGUACACAGCUAUAAUGAUGGAGUACAUAUCAACCCUUGAAGAAAAGUUGAUUUAUUGUGUAUGCGGAGGUUAAUUGAUCCGGCUAGUUCCAAGGUCGUUAAAGACUUUCAUUUUGGUACCAUGAGACCAUAUCCCUCCAUCCUGUUCAAAAGCAUAAUGAUUAGAGCUUGGAUAAAUGCAAAUAAUACAACUCUAAUCUACUUUUGUAUAUGUGAGAACAGGAAAGUAAGCUAAACAAAUUUUUAGCCAGUUUGGAUUAGCAAUCUCAAAACUUGCUUAUUGUUUCAUCACAACACUAUACGGCCGGAGGGUAUGGAGGGCGCCACCUCACCUCCAAUAGCCCCCCACCCACACCCUGCAACUUAAACCGGGGCGCCAUGGGUUGUCCGCCACCAUGGUAACGAGGAAGAAGCUGUGUUCAGGUUGCAUCAGCAGAGGAGAAUGAUGUUUAUGAUGGAGGUGGGGCUCUUAACAACCUUGCAACUAACCAGAUCAAUUCACCUCAACUUACAACACUCGCUCUUUAUCUGUACUUGACAAUUCAAAGUAGCCAAUAAUCUAGAUAAAAACAUUGGAUUUUGUAAUCUUAAAACAGAUUCUUGUGUUUUAUCAAUUGGUGUUUGGAGAAAAUUUGGCCCAUUUUGAAGCUCUGAUUUUUGUUUAUUGUGGUUGUGUUUAUGUAAUCCUGUUGUGUAUGUGUGGUUUUUAGGAUGAAUGGGUGUUUAUCAAGAUGAGGUGCGGAGGCACCACUAUAAUCAAGAGCUUCA